rnacentral:rRNA from 1 species
CUGGCGGCGUGCUUAACACAUGCAAGUCGAACGCGAAAGGGACUUCGGUCCUGAGUAAAGUGGCGCACGGGUGAGUAACGCGUAGAUAACCUGUCUUCAUGUCUGGAAUAAUACGCCGAAAGGGGUACUAAUACCGGAUAUUCUUGCUUUUCAUAAGUUAUGCAAGCAAAGGUGGCCUCUGCAUAUGCUACUGCAUGAAGAGGGGUCUGCGUACCAUUAGCUAGUAGGUGGGGUAAUGGCCUACCUAGGCGACGAUGGUUAGCGGGUCUGAGAGGAUGAUCCGCCACACUGGCACUGGAACACGGGCCAGACUCCUACGGGAGGCAGCAGUGAGGAAUAUUGCGCAAUGGGGGAAACCCUGACGCAGCGACGCCGCGUGAGUGAAGGAAGGCCUUCGGGUCGUAAAGCUCUGCCAAGAGGAAAGAAGUGUACAAUGGCUAAUACCUGUUGUAUUUGACGGUACCUCUAAAGGAAGCACCGGCUAACUCCGUGCCAGCCGCAGC